CAGAAUCUUCUCAUUAGUUCCUUGGUUUGUAGGGCCAACCAGUAUGGUCUGUAGUGAAGAGGGCUACAUAGAAGCCUCUGAAACUUUCUUACCAUGGCCAAGAGAAUAAAUUAAAAAAAAAAAUCACAUCCAGGGGAAUGGCCAAGAAAUCUGGCACUCUAAACAUGCUCAACACUACAAGUGGUCCCCAUCAUGUCCCCAUUUAAUUAUCUCUCUGUCCCCCUUCAGAACCAGGGGUCCUGAUAAUUGACAGUGGAUCUCCAUGAAGUCAAGUAAUUACUUAAUAUAUCUAUUACCACUACCAAAUGUCCAACCUGCCAGCAACAGAAACCAACACUGAGCUCUUCAACAAACACAGUCCCCAGAGGAGACUAACCAGCCACUUGCUAGCAACUUGAUCACAUCAGAUUCCUUUCAAUCUGGAAAUGGCAGUAAUUGAUUUUGACUGGAAUUGACACAUAUUCCAGAGAUGGCUUUACCUUUCCUACCCACAGGGACUCAGGCAGCAUGACCACCUGUAAGCUUAUAGAUUAUAUGAUAAACUGACAUGGAAUCCUGCAUAACGUGACUGUGGACCACUGGCCCCAUUUUAUAGCAAAAGAAGGACAACAAUGGACAUAUGAUGAUAGGAUAACACCAUCCAGAAACUGCCUAUCUACUAGAGGUUUUUGACAGCACAGCUAAAGUGCCAGCCUGCAGGUGAUACUGUGUCCGGAAUUGGUGGGUUCUUGGUCUCACUGACUUCAAGAAUGAAGCCGCGGACCCUCACAGUCUUCAGGUAGCUGGGUAAGAAGCGGCAAGGCAAACAAAGGGUCCUGGUAAUUGAAAACAACUGGUAAGGAUUGUUUUUCUUUUCUUUCAUGUUCUUCCUAAUUGAUGUGCUGAUUUGUAUAUGAACCUACAGAUGAGUCAAACCUAAGCAUUCGGCAUUGGGAGCACUGUCACUAAAACUGCAGCCUCAUUCAACAACACAUCCUUAUCGAGCACUUGCAGGUACUCCAUUGAAUGUUAGAAAUGCAUUGAUGAUGGAGACACAGCACCGGCUCAUGAGGACCUUCCAGCCUAGGCAGCAGGACUGGACAUACGCACUUUGGUAGAUUUAUUUUUAGAAAUUGGCUUAUGCAAGUGUGGGGCUGGCAAGUCUAACAACUGCAGGGCAGGUCAGGAGGCUGGAGACCCAGGGAAGAGUUGAUGCUGCAGUCUCUAGUCUGAAGGCAGUGCAGAGGCAGAAUUCCCUCUUUCUCGGAGGAUCUCAGGCUUUUUCUCCUAAGUCCUUCAACCAAGUGGAUGAGGCCACCCGCAUUAGAGAAGGUAUGUUUGCUUUCCUUGAAGUCUACUGAUGCAAAUGUUUAUCUCAUCUACACACUGCCUUCAUAGCAACAACUAGACUGAUGUUUGACCAUGCAACUGGGCACCAUAGCCCAGCCAAACUGGUACAUAAAAUGAAUUAUCACAGAUGGGGAGAGGCUUCAUGGGGGAAAGCUGGUUAGGAGACAUAACAGUACUCAAAGAAGCCUGAGAACAGGUCUUUAGCUGCUCCCAAAGUAUCCAAAUUGAUGGCCCAUCAGAAAUUAGGAAGCCAUCCCAUGGAAAGAUCUUUUCCCCAGCAACAGGUACAUGAGUAUGUGCUGUGUGUUGAACAGAAGGACUCCCACAAGAGGAUCCAAGGAAUAUGAUUGGUUUAGUCCUGGCCUCACCAUCUCCCUUAAAAAUGCCAGUUUAUUUCUCUGCAUAUUUACCUUAUUAUUUUUUCAUUGUCCUCUGCAGAUUUAUGAUUUUCAAUUGGUUCUUUUUUUUUUUUUUUUGAGAUGGAGUGCAGUGGCAUAAUCCC
rnacentral:lncRNA from 10 species